rnacentral:rRNA from 1 species
CCUACGGGAGGCAGCAGUGGGGAAUAUUGCACAAUGGGCGCAACGCUGAUGCAGCGACGCCGCGUGAGUGAAGAAGUAUUUCGGUAUGUAAAGCUCUAUCAGCAGGGAAGUAAAUGACAGUACCUGACCAAGAAGCCCCGGCUAACUACGUGCCAGAAGCCGCGGUAAUACGUAGGGGGCAAGCGUUAGCCGGAUUUACUGAGUGUAAAGCGAGCGUAGUCGGUUAUGUAAGUCUGAAGUGAAAGCCCGGGGCCCAACCUGGGGACUGCUUUGGAAACUGUGUAACUGGAGUACAGGAGGGGCAGGCGGAAUUCCUGGUGUAGCGGUGAAAUGCGUAGAUAUCAGGAGGAACACCGGUGGCGAAGGCGGCUUGCUGGACUGAAACUGACGUUGAGGCUCGAAAGCGUGGGGAGCAAACAGGAUUAGAUACCCCAGUAGUC